AAACAAUUUUAAUUAACACAGGGGAUGGUAACAGUGAAUAUAAAACAUAAAAUCCAACAUGCAGGUGGGGGAAACACUCGAAGGAGCUGUAAGAUCUGCACAGAUAACAACCCAUACAAAUACAGACUUUGAGAGCUCCUGACGCCUUGGUCAGAAGUUCAUGCCUAGCUCUUGUCCCUAGAACCUUAUAAACACAGGCACACAACAUGCGCACACUCACAGUCAAACCCCUGCCCCUCCACAUAUAG
rnacentral:lncRNA from 1 species